GAUGAACGCUGGCGGCGUGCUUAACACAUGCAAGUCGAACGAUGAACCGGGUGCUUGCACUCGGGGAUUAGUGGCGAACGGGUGAGUAACACGUGAGCAACCUGCCCCUGACUCUGGGAUAAGCGCUGGAAACGGCGUCUAAUACUGGAUAUGUCCCGUCCCCGCAUGGUGUGCGGGUGGAAAGAUUUUUCGGUUGGGGAUGGGCUCGCGGCCUAUCAGCUUGUUGGUGAGGUAAUGGCUCACCAAGGCGUCGACGGGUAGCCGGCCUGAGAGGGUGACCGGCCACACUGGGACUGAGACACGGCCCAGACUCCUACGGGAGGCAGCAGUGGGGAAUAUUGCACAAUGGGCGGAAGCCUGAUGCAGCAACGCCGCGUGAGGGAUGACGGCCUUCGGGUUGUAAACCUCUUUUAGCAGGGAAGGAGCGAAAGUGACGGUACCUGCAGAAAAAGCACCGGCUAACUACGUGCCAGCCGCCGCGGUAA
rnacentral:rRNA from 1 species